UACGAAGGGGGCUAGCGUUGCUCGGAAUUACUGGGCGUAAAGCGCACGUAGGCGGCUUCUUAAGUCGGUGGUGAAAUCCUGGAGCUCAACUCCAGAACUGCCUUCGAUACUGGGAAGCUCGAGUCCGGGAGAGGUGAGUGGAACUGCGAGUGUAGAGGUGAAAUUCGUAGAUAUUCGCAAGAACACCAGUGGCGAAGGCGGCUCACUGGCCCGGUACUGACGCGUGAGG
rnacentral:rRNA from 1 species